rnacentral:tRNA from 1 species
UUGGCUAAAGCUUUGAAGAAGCGUGAGAUUUUUAAUCUUAAGAUCCCGGGCUAGGGUGGCUAAA